rnacentral:rRNA from 1 species
GCCGCGAAUUCGCCCUUAGAGUUUGAUCAUGGCUCAGAAUGAACGCUGGCGGCGUGCUUAACACAUGCAAGCCGCACGAGAACUCUUUAAGCUUGCUUAAAGAUAGUAAAGUGGCGCACGGGUGAGUAACGCGUGGGCAAUCUACCUCCGAAUUGGGGAUAACUUCGCGAAAGCGGGGCUAAUACCGAAUAACAUUCUAAGAGCUUUGGCUUUUGGGAUCAAAGGUGGCCUCUACAUGUAAGCUACUGUUUGGAGAUGAGCCCGCGUACCAUUAGCUUGUUGGUAGGGUAAUGGCCUACCAAGGCGACGAUGGUUAGCUGGUCUGAGAGGAUGAUCAGCCACACUGGAACUGACACACGGUCCAGACUCCUACGGGAGGCAGCAGUGAGGAAUUUUGCGCAAUGGGGGAAACCCUGACGCAGCAACGCCGCGUGAGUGAUGAAGGCUUUCGAGUCGUAAAACUCUGUCAAGUGAGAAGAAUCUGUCCCGCGUUAAUACCGCGGGAUACUGACGGUAUCACUGAAGGAAGCACCGGCUAACUCCGUGCCAGCAGCCGCGGU